rnacentral:rRNA from 1 species
GACGAACGCUGGCGGCGUGCUUAACACAUGCAAGUCGAACGGAAAGACGCGGAUUUUGUUGCGCGCUCGAUUGGCGAACGGGUGUGUGACACGCGUGUAUACUCUCCCUAUCUUUGUGAUAACUCUAGGAAAAUGGGGCUCAUACAGCAUAUAAGCUCUUGCUGCACGGUGGGCGUUGGAAAGAUUCGGCGGUUGGGGCUGGACUCGCGGCUUACCCGCUUGUUGGUGGGGUAGUGGAUUACCAAGCCUUUGACGGGUAGCCGGCCUGAGAGGGUGACCGGCCACAUUGGGACUGAGAGACGGCCCAGAAUCCUACGGGAGGCAGCAGGGGGGAAUAUUACGGAGUGGGCGGAAGCGUGAGGCAGAGACGCCGCGUGCGGGAUGACGGCUUACGGGUUAUAAACCGCUUUCGACUGUGACGAAGCGUGAGUGACGGUAAUGGGUAAAGAAGCACCGGCUAACUACGUG